UAAAACUAACAUAUAUUGAUAACUUGAAUAUGUACGGUUAUAAUAAGAAAUAAGAUUUUGUUCUAUUCUAUUUACGAACCUAUAAUAGAAUUAUUAUUAUACAAUCUCUCUUUCUUUCAUCUCUCACUCUAUCUCUCUUCCCAAUCUCCAUCUCUAUAUCCUUCCAUUCUUUCCUCUGGAUAAGUAUUUUUUUUCUUCUUUUUCUUUCUUUUUGUGUAUCUAUAUAUCUCUCUCUAACAUGUAAUAUUGAAAAAUGUGUUAUUGUAUUCUAUUCUAUUUAAAAACAUAGAAUAAAAUUUUAACUAUACAUUCUCUCUUUCUCUCCCUCCCCUUCUCGCUCUCCUUCCCUCCCUCCCUC
rnacentral:lncRNA from 1 species